GGGGGAUAAAUUAAUAAUAAAGGGUUAAUAAAAGAAAUUUUUAUAUUAAAAAUAUAUGGGGGUUAAAGUAUUUUUAAAAAAAAAAAUUUGUAAAUUUAUAGUUUAAUAGGUAUUGUAGGGGAAAUUUGAAAAAAAAAUUAUAUUGAGUUUAGUGUAAAGUAAAUUUAAUUUAUUGUAUCUUGGGUAUCAGAGUUUAUUAAUUAAAAAUUUUUAAUUAAAAAAUUCUCGAAUUUGUAAGAGUUAAUUAAUUAAUAAAGUUAAUGUUGAAUAAUUAUUUUAAAUAAUUAAUUAGAAAUGAAAUGUUAAUCGAUUAUAAAUAUAUCUAGUUUUUUUAGAAAGAAAUUUAAUUUUAAAUUUAAAUAAUUUAAUAAUUAAUUAAUUAAUUAUUAAAAUUUAAAAUUUAAUAUAUUAGGGGAUAAGCUUUAAAUUAAAAAUUUAUAAUAAUUAAUUUUUAAUUAAAAUUUUUAAAAUUUAUAUUAUUUAAAAAUUAUAAUUUAUUAUAAAAAAUUUUAAUUAAAUUAAAAUUUAAAAAUAAAAUUUAAAUUUUUAUAAAAAAUUUAUUUUUAAUAAAAUAAAAUUAGAUAUAAUGAUAAAAUUAGUAUAAUAAUUUAAAAAUUAAAUAAAUUUAGUAAAAAUUAAAUUAAAGGAAUUCGGCAAAUAUUUAUAUUCACUUGUUUAUCAAAAACAUGUCUUUUUGGGGGAUAAUUUAAAGUCUAAUCUGCCCACUGAUGAGUAUUAAAGGGCUGCAGUAUAUUGACUGUACAAAGGUAGCAUAAUCAUUAGUCUUUUAAUUGAAGACUUGUAUGAACGAUUUGAUGAAAUAUAAACUGUCUCUAAUUUAUUAGUAAAAAUUAAUAUUUUAGUUAAAAAGCUAAAAUAAAAUUAAAAGACGAGAAGACCCUAUAGAGUUUUAUAUUUGUUUAUAUUAUGAUAAAAUAGAUAGUUAAUUAUAAAAAUAUAAUUAAAUAUUGUAUUGGGGUGAUAAAAAAAUUAAAUAAACUUUUUUUUUUAUUAACAUAGAUAAAUGAUUAAAUGAUCCAUUAUUUAUGAUUAAAAGAAAAAAUUACCUUAGGGAUAACAGCGUAAUAUUUUUUUUUAGUACGAAUAAAAAAAAAAGUUUGCGACCUCGAUGUUGGAUUAAGAUAAAAAUUAAAUGCAAAAGUUUAAAAUUUUGAUCUGUUCGAUCAUUAAAAUCUUACAUGAUCUGAGUUCAAACCGGUGUGAGCCAGGUUGGUUUCUAUCUUUAGUAACUUAUAAUAUUUUAGUACGAAAGGAUCAAAUAUUAAAAAUAAUUUUAGCUUAGAUGAAUAUUAUUAAUAUUAAUAUA
rnacentral:rRNA from 1 species